GUGGGGGCAUCCGCGUGAUCGUCUCGGUGGUGCUGCUCAUAGUGAAUCGCACAUGGUGCAUGGCUGUCAAUCAUGAUGUUUGACGAUGUUUGAGCAUCGCCCGCAGAGUGGCUCGGGGUGUCCUCCUAUGCUGAGCACAUGCGUUGGGACGGACUCUUCGACGACCUCGAGGCCCACUGGGCCGACCUCGGCUGGCGGGAGACCGCCGCGGAGGCCGCCGAGCUGACGCGUGCGGAGUGGAUGUCGCUGUCCCUGGCCGACCGCCUGCGGGGCGCGCGCGAGGAGCGGGUCCGGCUGCAUCUGAACUGGAGGAAGGUGGGGAA
rnacentral:rRNA from 1 species